UACGAACUGUGCAAACGUUAUUCGGAAUCACUGGGCUUAAAGGGUGCGUAGGCGGCUUGUUAAGUAGGGUGUGAAAUCCCCCGGCUCAACCGGGGAAUUGCGCCCUAAACUGGCGAGCUGGAGUGAGAUAGGGGUGUGUGGAACUUCCAGUGGAGCGGUGAAAUGUGUUGAUAUUGGAAGGAACGCCAGUGGCGCAAGCGACACACUGGGUCUCAACUGACGCUGAGGCACGAAAGCCAGGGGAGCAAACGGG
rnacentral:rRNA from 1 species